rnacentral:snoRNA from 1 species
AAAGACGGGCUGUUAACAUAGACAAAAUCAGAGAACAUAAACUAUAUCAAAUAUGGCAAAAUAAAUAAAUCUUUAGUAACCGUUUUU